UAUAUAUUAUAUAUUAAAUACCUUACUUUGAAGUGAAAUUGUGAAAAAACUAAUGCAGCUAGAAAGCAUUGGAAAGAGUGGCCCGUUUACUAUAAGAGUCGAUGAAAAAGUGAAAACCGAUUUUUUCUGACCGUAGGUCCCUUUUAACUUUACGUGUCA